rnacentral:rRNA from 1 species
GUGAGGAAUAUUGCGCAAUGGAGGCAACUCUGACGCAGCCAUGCCGCGUGCAGGAAGAAGGCGCUACGCGUUGUAAACUGCUUUUAACCGGGAAGAAACCCCAGGACGUGUCUUGGGUUGACGGUACCGGAGGAAUAAGCACCGGCUAACUUCGUGCCAGCAGCCGCGGUAAUACGAAGGGUGCAAGCGUUAUCCGGAUUCAUUGGGUUUAAAGGGUGCGUAGGCGGAGCGUUAAGUCAGUGGUGAAAUCCUGCAGCUUAACUGUAGACUUGCCAUUGAUACUGGCGCUCUUGAGUGCGCUUGAAGUGGGCGGAAUGUGCCGUGUAGCGGUGAAAUGCUUAGAUAUGGCACAGAACACCAAUUGCGAAGGCAGCUCACUAAGGCGAUACUGACGCUGAGGCACGAAAGCGUGGGGAUCGAACAGGAUUAGAUACCCGGGUAGUCC